rnacentral:tRNA from 1 species
UGGGGUGUGGCUCAGUGGAAAGAGUACUUACCUAGCAUGUGCAAGGCCCUGGGUUCCAUUCCCAGCACCCCCC